rnacentral:lncRNA from 1 species
CCGUUUAGGUUUCUUGAGACAAAGGAAAACGAAGCAGAAUGAAAAUCAUAAGAAAUAAUUGAAUCGACAUCUAAUAGAAUAUCGUAGAGCUCUAUCGAUCGGAGAUUCGAGUUGAUGGAUGUGGUCAGCCCUUGGGAAUCUGAGCGGAGCCAGAUACGUUUGUAAUGGUGAGCGGAGGCGUGCAAGAGGAAAAGACCUCAGCCAUAAGCAGAGACGAGACAUCAGUUUGGAGGGAAGAGCCUCUGGAUAUUUCUGUUGAAUCGGGGUUGGAGAAGAUCCAUGCGAGACCGGCGACUUUGUUCCGAGCUGCAUCUGUGUGGCAGAUGAUAGUAUCAGUCAUCGGCGGCGGGGCACGCGGGGCGUUGCUUUAGUAAGAAUUGGCUUGGGUAUGGUUGAUUGAGCAUUUUCCACUCCUUGCAAGACACUAUUAAGACACUAUUGCUCUGUUAACUAUUUGUUGUUGUGUCAGGAUCUUGGAUUCGAACACCAAAAUUCCUAUUAUCCAGUUUUCCAAAAUUCCUAUAUAUAUAUAUACUAGACUCGAACCCGC